GUAAAAAGAAAGCAAAUAAAAAUAAAAUAAUCCGUCUCUUCUUCAUCACCUCUAAUAAUAGAUCUUAUUUCAUGACCGAGUCGCGUUGGGGUUGACCAUGCAACAUCAUCGAACUCCAGCAAUUUCUGCCACGAAAUAAAAAGCAAUAAAGGGAUUUUAUUGCGUGGACUUGCUAUCGUUCCCCUGUCUGUCGACAAUUUAUAUUUGGAUUUCUGAUAUUUGGAUUUC
rnacentral:ribozyme from 14 species